rnacentral:tRNA from 1 species
AGGGUAUUAGUCCAAUAUAAGACCUCUGAUUUCGGCUCAGAAGACUAUGGUUUAAUUCCAUAAUUCCCUU